CCUUAUGCUUUUAACUACCUUGAUCGAAUCAUAGGAUUCUAACAACAGUGCGUUUAAGUCUUCAUCAUUGUGAUUGUAAUGACGAUGAUGGAUGGAUUGUUUGGUUUGUCCAAUUUUUAUACAUUUUUUCAUUUAGAUCACUAUAUUGAUCUUGUACGGCUAUAAAGUUGCCUGAUGAAAUGAGCUACAUUUAUAUUUGUAAUUCUUGUGCCUGUAGUUGGAAAAAGGCUAUUGUCUUCUUUAUCUUGGGCUGAUUUACUAUUUGCUUUUAAAACUUUCAGGUGGUUUCUGGGAUACACUUG
rnacentral:misc_RNA from 1 species